CCUACGGGGGGCAGCAGUGGGGAAUAUUGGACAAUGGGGGCAACCCUGAUCCAGCCAUGCCGCGUGUGUGAAGAAGGCCCUCGGGGUGUAAAGCACUUUCAGUGAGGAAGAACGCCUGGUGGUUAAUACCCAUCAGGAAAGACAUCACUCACAGAAGAAGCACCGGCUAACUCCGUGCCAGCAGCCGCGGUAAUACGGAGGGUGCGAGCGUUAAUCGGAAUUACUGGGCGUAAAGCGCGCGUAGGUGGCUUGAUAAGCCGGUUGUGAAAGCCCCGGGCUCAACCUGGGAACGGCAUCCGGAACUGUCAAGCUAGAGUGCAGAAGAGGAAGGUAGAAUUCCCGGUGUAGCGGUGAAAUGCGUAGAGAUCGGGAGGAAUACCAGUGGCGAAGGCGGCCUUCUGGACUGACACUGACGCUGAGGUGCGAAAGCGUGGGUAGCAAACAGGAUUAGAUACCCCAGUAGUC
rnacentral:rRNA from 1 species